GACGAACGCUGGCGGCGUGCUUAACACAUGCAAGUCGAACGGAAAGGCCCUGCUUGCAGGGUACUCGAGUGGCGAACGGGUGAGUAACACGUGGGUGAUCUGCCCUGCACUUCGGGAUAAGCCUGGGAAACUGGGUCUAAUACCGGAUAGGAGCCAUUUUUAGUGUGAUGGUUGGAAAGUUUUUUCGGUGUAGGAUGAGCUCGCGGCCUAUCAGCUUGUUGGUGGGGUAAUGGCCUACCAAGGCGGCGACGGGUAGCCGGCCUGAGAGGGUGGACGGCCACGGUGGGAAUGUGGUACGGCCCAGCACCCUCUGGGGGGCCGCAGGGGGGUAGAUGGCACAAUGGGCGGAGGUCUGACGUACCACCGCUGCGGGCGGGAUAAGGUCCUUCGGUGUGUAGAACGGGUUCGACGGCGAAGAAGCGGGAGGGACGGGAAUGGGUAAAGAAGCACGGGCUAAUUACGUG
rnacentral:rRNA from 1 species